UACGUAGGUGGCAAGCGUUGUCCGGAUUUAUUGGGUUUAAAGGGUGCGUAGGCGGUCUAUUAAGUCAGCGGUGAAAUACUCCAGCUUAACUGGAGGGGUGCCAUUGAUACUGAUGGACUUGAGUCAAGUCGAGGUAGGCGGAAUUGACGGUGUAGCGGUGAAAUGCUUAGAUAUCGUCAAGAACACCAAUAGUGAAGACAGCUUACUGGGCUUAAACUGACGCUGAGACGCGAAAGCGUGGGGAGCGAACAGG
rnacentral:rRNA from 1 species